rnacentral:rRNA from 1 species
GACGUAGGGCGCGAGCGUUUGUCCGGAUUUAUUGGGCGUAAAGAGCUCGUAGGCGGCUUGUCGCGUCGACCGUGAAAACUUGGGGCUCAACCCCAAGCCUGCGGUCGAUACGGGCAGGCUAGAGUUCGGUAGGGGAGACUGGAAUUCCUGGUGUAGCGGUGAAAUGCGCAGAUAUCAGGAGGAACACCGGUGGCGAAGGCGGGUCUCUGGGCCGAUACUGACGCUGAGGAGCGAAAGCGUGGGGAGCGAACAGG